rnacentral:rRNA from 1 species
AACGCUAGCUACAGGCUUAACACAUGCAAGUCGAGGGGCAGCAUGAACUUAGCUUGCUAAGUUUGAUGGCGACCGGCGCACGGGUGAGUAACGCGUAUCCAACCUUCCGUACACUCAGGAAUAGCCUUUCGAAAGAAAGAUUAAUACCUGAUGGUAUGAUGAGAUUGCAUGAAAUCAUCAUUAAAGAUUCAUCGGUGUACGAUGGGGAUGCGUUCCAUUAGAUAGUAGGCGGGGUAACGGCCCACCUAGUCGACGAUGGAUAGGGGUUCUGAGAGGAAGGUCCCCCACAUUGGAACUGAGACACGGUCCAAACUCCUACGGGAGGCAGCAGUGAGGAAUAUUGGUCAAUGGGCGCGAGCCUGAACCAGCCAAGUAGCGUGAAGGAUGAAGGUCCUACGGAUUGUAAACUUCUUUUAUAAGGGAAUAAAGUCACCCACGUGUGGGUGUUUGUAUGUACCUUAUGAAUAAGCAUCGGCUAACUCCGUGCCAGCAGCCGCGGUAAUACGGAGGAUGCGAGCGUUAUCCGGAUUUAUUGGGUUUAAAGGGAGCGUAGACGGGUCGUUAAGUCAGCUGUGAAAGUUUGAGGCUCAACCUUAAAAUUGCAGUUGAUACUGGCGUCCUUGAGUACGGNUGANGCAGGCGGAAUUCGUGGUGCAGCGGUGAAAUGCUUAGAUAUCACGAAGAACUCCGAUUG